GCCUUCGUGGUGUAAUGGUCAGCACGCUCGACGCGUAUUCGAGAGGCACGUGGUUCGACUCCCGGCGAGAGCA
rnacentral:tRNA from 1 species